rnacentral:rRNA from 1 species
GAUGAACGCUGGCGGCGUGCCUAAUACAUGCAAGUCGAGCGAACGGACGAGAAGCUUGCUUUUCUGAUGUUAGCGGCGGACGGGUGAGUAACACGUGGAUAACCUACCUAUAAGACUGGGAUAACUUCGGGAAACCGGAGCUAAUACCGGAUAAUAUUUUGAACCGCAUGGUUCAAAAGUGAAAGACGGUCUUGCUGUCACUUAUAGAUGGAUCCGCGCUGCAUUAGCUAGUUGGUAAGGUAAGGGCUUACCAAGGCAACGAUGCAUAGCCGACCUGAGAGGGUGACCAGCCACACUGGGACUGAGACACGGUCCAGACUCCUACGGGAGGCAGCAGUAGGGAAUCUUGCGCAAUGGGCGAAAGCCUGACGGAGCAACGCCGCGUGAGUGAUGAAGGUCUUCGGAUCGUAAAACUCUGUUAUUAGGGAAGAACAUAUGUGUACGUAACUGUGCACAUCUUGACGGUACCUAAACAGAAAGCCACGGCUAACUACGUG